CCCUUAGAUGUUCUGGGCCGCACGCGCGCUACAAUGAUGAAUUCAACGAGUUUAUAACCUUGGUUGAAAAGCCUGGGUAAUCUUUUGAACAUUCGUCGUGAUGGGGCUAGACCCUUGCAAUUAUUGGUCUCCAACGAGGAAUUCCUAGUAAACGCAAGUCAUCAGCUUGCAUUGAUUACGUCCCUGCCCUUUGUACACACCGCCCGUCGCACCUACCGAUUGAAUGGUCCGGUGAAAUCUUCGGAUUGAGACUUUGAUUUCUUCACGGAAAACGCUGUUUUAAAAAGUUGAUUAAACCUUACCAUUUAGAGGAAGGUGAAGUCGUAACA
rnacentral:rRNA from 1 species